ACGGCCAUACCACAUUGAAAACACCGGUUCUCAUCCGAUCACCGAAGUUAAGCAAUAUUGGACCCGGUUAGUAUUUGGGAGGGUGACCACCUGGGAACAACGGUUGUAGCUGUAGGCC